rnacentral:rRNA from 1 species
UAUCUCUGUAGAGUCUGCAUAUCAAUAAGCGGAGGAAAAGAAACUAACAAGGAUUCCCUUAGUAAUGGCGAGUGAAGCGGGAAGAGCUCAAAUUUGAAAUCUUCAAGGUUCUACCUUGACGAAUUGUAGUUUAAAGAAGUGUUUUCUGUUAGAUGAGUAGCAAAAGUUCCUUGGAAUGGGACAUCAUAGAGGGUGAGAAUCCCGUAUUUGGUUAUUCAUUCUAGCUUUGUGAUACACUUUCAAAGAGUCGGAUUGUUUGGGAAUGCAGUCCAAAAUGGGUGGUAAAUUUCAUCUAAAGCUAAAUAUUGGCGAGAGACCGAUAGCGAACAAGUACCGUGAGGGAAAGAUGAAAAGAACUUUGAAAAGAGAGUUAAACAGUACGUGAAAUUGUCAAAAGGGAAGCGUUUGACACCAGUGUUGUUUUUCCGAAAAUCAAUUACGAAUGGCUUGAUUUUGUGUUGUAUUGACCUUAUAAGCUUUCUUCACUUUUUUCGAGUCUUUCUUAAUGCACUUUUCGGUUAACAAGUCAACAUCAAUUUCUUUUGUUGUAAAAGAGUAUUCGGAAGGUGGCUUUCUUUUCGGAGAAAGUGUUUAUAGCCCUAUACUUCUACAAUCGGAGAGAUUGAGGUCUGCAGCGUAGAUCCUUCGGGGUUAGAUACACUUGUGCUAAGUUGUAGCUUUUCAUAGACAACUUGUUGACUAUGUUUAGUCAUGCGGCUUACUCGCUUAGUGCUAUUUUACCUACGCUUAGGAUGUUGACUGAUAUGUAGUCGUA